rnacentral:rRNA from 1 species
AGAGCGAACGCUGGCGGCAUGCUUAACACAUGCAAGUCGCACGGGCAGGGGCAACCCUGUCAGUGGCGGACGGGUGAGUAACGCGUAGGUAUCUAUCCUUGGGUGGGGGACAACCGUGGGAAACUACGGCUAAUACCGCAUGAUGACUGAGGUCCAAAGCCCGCGAGGGUGCCUGGGGAGGAGCCUGCGUACGAUUAGCUAGUUGGUGGGGUAAAGGCCUACCAAGGCGAUGAUCGUUAGCUGGUCUGAGAGGAUGAUCAGCCACAUUGGGACUGAGACACGGCCCAAACUCCUACGGGAGGCAGCAGUGGGGAAUAUUGGACAAUGGGCGCAAGCCUGAUCCAGCAAUGCCGCGUGUGUGAAGAAGGUCUUCGGAUUGUAAAGCACUUUCGACGGGGACGAUGAUGACGGUACCCGUAGAAGAAGCCCGGCUAACUUCGUGCCAGCAGCCGC